rnacentral:rRNA from 1 species
GUGGGGAAUAUUGCACAAUGGGGGAAACCCUGAUGCAGCGACGCCGCGUGAAGGAAGAAGUAUCUCGGUAUGUAAACUUCUAUCAGCAGGGAAGAUAGUGACGGUACCUGACUAAGAAGCCCCGGCUAACUACGUGCC